AAACCUUGCAAAAAGAGGAUGAAGUGAAC
rnacentral:piRNA from 1 species